AUUGAACGCUGGCGGCAUGCUUUACACAUGCAAGUCGAACGGUAGAGGGGCAACCCUUGAGAGUGGCGAACGGGUGAGUAAUGCAUCGGAACGUGCCCAGUAGUGGGGGAUAGCCCGGCGAAAGCCGGAUUAAUACCGCAUGAGACCUGAGGGUGAAAGCGGGGGAUCGCAAGACCUCGCGCUAUUGGAGCGGCCGAUGUCAGAUUAGCUAGUUGGGGGGGUAAAGGCCUACCAAGGCGACGAUCUGUAGCUGGUCUGAGAGGACGACCAGCCGCACUGGGAAUGAGACACGGCCCAGGCUCCUACGGGAGUCAGCAGUGGGGAAUUUUGGACAAUGGGCGCAAGCCUGAUCCAGCCAUGCCGCGUGCGGGAAGAAGGCCUUCGGGUUGUAAACCGCUUUUGUCAGGGAAGAAAUCUUCUGGGCUAAUACCCUGGGAGGAUGACGGUACCUGAAGAAUAAGCACCGGCUAACUACGUGCCAGCCGCCGCCGUAAGAC
rnacentral:rRNA from 1 species